CCGGUUACGUGACUGAUUGGGGCUGACAUGGGCGUCAAUUAGGAACGGGCAUAUGUAUAGUCACCUGGGGUCCUUAGCCAGGUAGCUUAUUCCCUGCUGCUGGCUCAGUGUUGUGGUGACCAGUUUAAAGUGUUGGAGGGAGCUGACACUGAGGAAGUUAUCGUGAGCCGUUUUCCUAGCGGUGUUCUGGUCUGCCCAAGCGAGUUAUGGUGGAUGAUUUAGGACUCAUUCUGUGUAUAAGCGCUCAGCUGACGGUGUGGCUGUGGACAGGGGGUAAAACUGCGAGGAUUAGGACUCACAGACAAGGUCGACUUAAUACAACGCAGGUAUGUUAUAGACUAGAUGGAUUCUGGAAGGAUUGGAGGCUAACGGCGGUCAACACGCUAACUGGUUAUUGUCCACACAGCUUUACUUGUUGUCAAGUCUCGAUUUAGCCACGUAACUGCAGGGAACAGGUUUACCAAUAAGCUCCAUGGCCACAAUGGUGUCCUGUUAUAGGAAUUAAUAUGAAGAAAAGGUCUCAGACAACACACCUCCUGGGAAUAGCAUUGUCAAUAUUUGAGACUUAUUAUUUUAGUCUUUAGACAGUUUAAAACUAUUAUAUAUAACUGAGCUAUUCUGUACCUGUGAUGUACAUUACUUUCUUAGCCAUCUCUCUCUUUAUCUCUUCAUCUUAAUUCCGACUGGGUCCUUAAUUGCCGUUGAAAGUGACCUCUCUGAUUCAAGAUUGUGUAUUGAGCAAAUAAUCCAUUCCCAUCCCCCUUUGAUUCAGACAAUAAAAGGUUAGAGCUGUUGGUUGAUCCCUCUUCAGCUGAACCUUUAGUAUGCAAAAAGCCUCACGGAACGAUCACACACACACAAGACGUGCAUGUGCAUAGCAAUUAAAGGUUCAUCUUUCAUUACCA